rnacentral:rRNA from 1 species
CCUACGGGAGGCAGCAGUGGGGAAUAUUGGUCAAUGGGCGAGAGCCUGAACCAGCAAAGCCGCGUGAAGGAUGACGGCCCUACGGGUUGUAACCUUCUUUUGUCAGGACGCAAUUGGGUCCACGCGUGGGCUUAGCACGAGUACCUGAAGACACAGCAUCGGCUAAAUCCGGGCCAGCAGCCGCGGUAAUCCGGAUGAUGAGGCGGUUAUCCGGAUUUAUCGGGUUAAAAGGUUGCGUGGGCGGAAUACCAGGUCAACGGGAAAAAUGCGGGGCUAAACACGGUCUGGCAGUUGAAACUGAUGUUCUUGAGUAGGCGAGAAGUAGGCGGAAUGCGUGGUGUAGCGGUGAAAUGCGUAGAUAUCAAGCAGAACUCCCAUGGCGAAGGCGGCAUACCGGCGCCUAACUGACGCUGAAGCACGAAAGCGUGGGGAUCGAACAGGAUUAGAUACCCGAGUAGUC